rnacentral:tRNA from 1 species
UUUGUAAUAGCAUAAUGGUAAUGCAUCUACCUUCCAAGUAGAAAGAUCCAGGUUCAACUCCUGGUUAGAAAA